rnacentral:rRNA from 1 species
CUCCUACGGGAGGCAGCAGUGGGGGAUAUUGCACAAUGGGGGAAACCCUGAUGCAGCGACGCCGCGUGGGUGAAGAAGCGCCUCGGCGCGUAAAGCCCUGUCCGCAGGGAAGAAAAUGACGGUACCUGAAGAAGAAGCCCCGGCUAACUACGUGCCAGCAGCCGCGGUAAUACGUAGGGGGCAAGCGUUUUCCGGAUUUACUUGGUGUAAAGGGGGCCCAGACGGCGAUGCAAGCCCAGAGUGAAAGCC